rnacentral:rRNA from 1 species
GACGAACGCUGGCGGCGUGCUUAACACAUGCAAGUCAACGAGAAAAGGGUAGCAAUAUCCUGAGUAAAGUGGCGCACGGGUGAGUAAUAUGUAAGUAAUCUACCUAUAGAUUUGGAAUAAUCCCUCGAAAGGGGGACUAAUACCGAAUGAUGCAGCGGCACCGCAUGGUGAUGUUGUUAAAGUUGCAGCAGUGUAACGUCUAUAGAUGAGCUUGCAUCUGAUUAGCUAGUUGGUAAGGUAACGGCUUACCAAGGCUACGAUCAGUAGCUGGUCUGAGAGGAUGAUCAGCCACACUGGAACUGAGACACGGUCCAGACUCCUACGGGAGGCAGCAGUGAGGAAUAUUGGGCAAUGCCCGAAAGGGUGACCCAGCAACGCCGCGUGGAGGAUGAAUGCCGUAAGGCUGUAAACUCCUGUGAGAAGGGAAGAAAAAUCAGAUUUCGUAAGGGAUCUGGCUUGACUGUACCUUCAGAGGAAACCCCGGCUAACUACGUGCCAGC